ensembl:lncRNA
CUAGCCACAGCGGUCAACUAGCCAACCACAGCGUUCAACUAGCUAGCCAGAGAGGUCAACUAGCCUGCCACAGCAGUAAACUAGCUAGCCACAGCGGUCAACUAGCUAGCCUCAGCAGUCAACUAGACAGCCACAGCGGUCAACUAGCUAGCCACAGCAGUCAACUAGCCUGCCACAGCAGUCAACUAGCUAGCCACAGCGGUCAACUAGCUAGCCACAGCAGUCAACUAGCCAACCACAGCGUUCAACUAGCUAGCCAGAGAGGUCAACUAGCCUGCCACAGCGGUCAACUAGCUAGCCACAGCGGUCAACUAGCUAGCCAGAGAGGUCAACUAGCCUGCCAGAGCAGUCAACUAGCUAGCCACAGCGGUCAACUAGCUAGCCAGAGAGGUCAACUAG